rnacentral:tmRNA from 1 species
GGGGAUGCUUUGGUUUCGACAGGAAUAAUAGAGCAUAAAUGGCAAGUCGAGUUGUUUACGUUACAAACUAAAUUAAAUAUAACUGGAAACAGUAUUAAAACAGCAUUUGCUAACUUAUUUAAUAAAAACACUGAGUUAGCUUUCGCCUAAUAUAGGUAAAUGCACUAUCUUUUCUUAAUUUCCUGUGUUAAGUUAAGAUGGUUUAUUUUAGCAGGAUAUAGUUAUAGUUUGUCUAGACUAUGAUGGAAUUUUUUAGACUAGAACUAUUUUAUUAGUUGAUGGUUACUAGGAAAUAGUUUGAAGUUUCUUAAUCAUCUAAACUUGUAGAAGUUUAUGUAGCUUUAUUUUUGGACAGGAGUUCGAAUCUCCUCAUCUCCACCA